UUACCAGAUCAGACCAGCGGUAGGUGAGC
rnacentral:sRNA from 1 species